AGGAAGAGAGCGAGUGGGUGCAUAGCUUGAGCGUGAGCUGAAGCUCGAUGAAGAGGAAGAGGAAUGAAAGAGGAGGGGAUGGGAAAGGAGAAGGCCAGGGGUGGAGAAACCGAACAAAGAGAUGAACGAGACAGGGAAGAUUGAUGUUAGAUUGAGAUAGGGAAAUCGGAAUCCACUAGGAAGAGGGACUAAGGAAACUGCAUACUGGCAUUCGGGAGGCUCGAUUCGAAGGACUAUAUCUCGGGAGUUCUCCAUGGGACUGCUGGACCCGGCGGAUUAUAAAAGAGCCAGACCUGUGGAAUAGAAAUAGGGGCCUGAUCGACCGCUGGACCCGAUGGAAUAUAAAAAGGGGCCCGAUCAACAGCUAGACGCGGCGGAAUAUAAAUUAAUGUCAACUCUUACCGCCAGAGGUUAAUAAGCGGCCUCGCUUAUGAGAUAUGUUUAUGAGGAUAUGUGAAUAAUUUUUUGAGAUGUGCAGGGUCACGAUACCGACACAACUCUAUUGUGAUGAAAUGCAACCCUAUGGCUAUAUUGAUUGGUUGUGUUGUAUAUUGUUUAUCUGGUAUGAUUGUUGGAGAUGUGAUGAUUGUUGAGAUUGUCUGAAGUUAUUCUGUGAAAGCCGUCUUAUUACUCGAG